UGAUGAGAGCCAUUUUUCUUGGCAGGCACAUCUUGCAAAAUCAAUGAGGAUUUUUGUGCUGUAGUGUUGAGAUGAAGAGAUGAAGCGUGAAGAAAAUGGGAGGAUGAGAUUCAGAAUAUUAAUAAGGAAACUCCUGCUGCAGCUCUUUGCUCAGGUGUUGAGAUCAGCUGGUGGAGCUGCCUUUGCUUCCAUCUGGAGAACCGAGGCAUUUUACAUGCAGGGAGGCUCACAGCAACAAGUCUGCAGCUGCUCAGGAGAGCUGCUGACCUCCACUGCUGCCUUCUGGAAGUUUGUGUGUGCCAAUGGCCCUGAGGGAGACCCUGAGCACCCUGUGCUUGGAAAGAGGAGGUGCAGAGGCAACACCCAGAAAUGUCUGAGCUCUGCAGAGGAUUGGAGCAGAGGAUGUGUAGGAGUUCACACUACAUGUGGCAAGUGCCCCUUAAGGACCAGAGAGUGAUCAGAACUCACCUCAAAAAUAUUCUGGAUUGAUUCCCUGCUGUUGGCUCCUUGUGAAGUGGCAGUUCAGGCUGAGAGAACUUUAUUCCCGUGGUGCUGGAGCCUUUGGUCAGUGCAGGUGGGGAAUGAUUGUCCAAAUUGGCUCCUUCAGCUCCUUGGCAUCCUCCUGCACGUGCCCUCAGCUCAUGGCCAGGGAAUUUUGAAAAUUAACUGGGUUUUAAUUCCAACCAGAAAUACACACUUUGGACUGAAAUCAAAUCUGGAAAAACACGUCAGGAAAAGCCAAAACCUCAGGCUCUGUGUGUGAUCAUAAAACUUUUUGCUGCAGCUUCUAAUCAGGAAGAGAUCACCUAAUAAAAACAGCGCUUUGGAAGGGAGAACAAUUCAAUACUGAACACGAGUGAGGAGCCCUAACUAGCGAUGAAGACUGCUCCGCUCGGGGAAGAUUUGUUGCUGUUGGUAAAAGCCUGAAGAGGCUAUUUGCAGCCAGGAACGAUUCCGCAGCGCUGAUGGAAUGAGUGCUGUUUCUGUCCUUGGGGCAGGUGCUGAUGGAAGGGCUGCUUUCAGGUUUUGUGCUCUCUCUGCCUUCCCUGGUGCUGCUGCAGAGGUUUUGUUGCAGGUAAGCCCCUGGCUGUCAGCUCAGGCACAGGAUUUCUUCCCGUUUAAUGCCUCGCUUCCACACGAGGUUGCACACGGGGUUCUGUAGAAUUCCUCUCCUUUCAUCUUUUGAACCACGUUCUAAAACAGGCAGCAGAAAUUUCCUAGAAAGUUUUGACCUAAUUUUUUGUCCUAUGAAAAGAAAGGUUGGUGUUCCACCCAGCUGCUCCGAGGCAGGGCAGGGGCAGCAGCCUUUUCCCGCAUCCCUGGAGCACGGAUGUUGUGCUCCAAACACAGCACUGUGGCUCCAGGGGCUUGGCUCUCUCAUCUCCCCACGUUUCCAGCAGUGUUUCUCUACCUGCAGCAGAUCCUUUUGCCUCUUUAUCAAAACAUCUUUCUCUAAAGAUGGGGUUUCUGUGUGAGCUGGACACGACAGCGCAUGGGCAAAGUAUUUUUGGUACAAAGCACCCGAGCCUUGCAGCUGCUAUUGUUGUACUCUACAGACACCUGAAAAUCAGAGGGAAACACUGCACUUGUCCUGCAGAGAUCAGUUGCUAGCAGGGACUUUAAAAGUGAGUUCAGUCUGAUCGCUGCAUUUUUGAGCUUUACAGAAUAACUAAUUUCACUUGACAAUUGGGAGGUGAGGUCAGGGUAUUUAGGUCUACAAUUAGGAGACCUGAAGGUGCUUGCACUGUCUCUGGGAAGGAUGUGGCUAAAAAGCAAGUCUGAAAUUCUAACUGUAUUCUCCUUGCCUGCCCUUUUUGGUCCUACAAUUUUGGUCCUAGAAUCCAGACACUGUGCCUGCUACAGCUGGAGAUGCCCUGGCAGCUGGAGAGGCAGAGGAUAAAGGGGAGGCAGAGGUGCUGAGCCCAUGCUGUCUGCAUGUUUGUGUGUGCACUUGGGAGAGAAGCAGGAAUCUAAAAGGAAGAGCUGGCCUGGACGUUUUGGGUGGUGGCUGAAGUGCUGGGACA